UGAGGAAUAUUACUCAAUGGGAGAAAUCCUGAAGCAGCAACGCCGCGUGGAGGAUGAAGGGCUUUCAGCUUGUAAACUCCUGUAAAGAAGGAAAAAAUUCCCAUUAGAUGGGAGAUGAUGGUACUUCUGGAGUAAGCCCCGGCUAACUACGUGCCAGCAGCCGCGGUAACACGUAGGAGGCAAACGUUAUCCGGAUUUACUGUGCGUAAAGCGCGUGUAGGUGGUUUGGUAAGUAGAGCGUGAAAGCUCCUGGCUCAACUGGGAGAGGUCGUUCUAAACUGCCGGACUAGAGGGUGGUAGAGGGAUGUGGGAUUACGGGUGUAGCGGUGGAGUGCGCAGAUAUCCGGAGGAACACCAGUGGCGAAAGCGGCCUCCUGGACCAUUCCUGACACUCAGACGCGAAAGCUAGGGUAGCAAACG
rnacentral:rRNA from 1 species